rnacentral:rRNA from 2 species
AGCAUGGUCUAGCUUGCUAGACUGAUGGCGAGUGGCGGACGGGUGAGUAACGCGUAGGAAUAUGCCUUAAAGAGGGGGAUAACUUGGGGAAACUCAAGCUAAUACCGCAUAAGCUCUAAGGAGUAAAGCUGGGGACCUUCGGGCCUGGCGCUUUAAGAAUAGCCUGCGUACGAUUAGCUAGUUGGUGGGGUAAAGGCCUACCAAGGCGACGAUCGUUAGCUGGUCUGAGAGGAUGGCCAGCCACACUGGGACUGAGACACGGCCCAGACUCC